GGGGGGGGCAGGCGCGUGAAAAAUCACGCACACUCAGUGAGAAAUUACCCGCACGUGACCGCAGAAGACUCCAAAAAGGCAAAACGAGCGAGAGGAUCAAAUGAAAAGCCGCAGGAAUUCUUCCCCGUUUCUUCCCGCGCAGCUUGAGCGAACGUGCAUUCGCACUCGCGCGCAUGCACGCACGCGCCCCGGUCUGCAGCGAGGCGAGGACAGUCGGGCACACGCGCAGACACGCGCCGCGCGGCGUUUGACGUCGUCUCUCACCCCGCCGUAACCUUUCACGCGUGCAGCCGCACAGGAGUGCACGUGCACGCGCGCGCGUACUCAGGCUGCCCGGCUGAAAGCGCGUGAGGAGAAAAUGAGAAACGCCAGUGAAGAAAUGGGUGUGUACGCGCUGGGGGCGGGACCAGGCACGUGAUUGACAGCCCAGGUGACCACUGAGUCGCGGCGCAUCAUUUAUGAAUGUAAGAAAUCAGCUGUUAAUGAAAGAAACGAGAAUGUUCUACACACACCGACCUGCUCAAAUCAUUUAGGAUGGAUGGACCUUCUGUCUGCGGCGCGCCACCCGUUCCCACAAUCCUUAGCGUGUAACCACACCUGUUUACCACGAGGUAGCACAUCCAGUCAAAGGUCCACGUCCUCGUCUCUGGGACGAAAACACCACUAAGUCUCACACCGUUUGUCCCUUCGUUGACCUGUGAUGAUGGAGACAGAUGAACCCCCUGGAGGAGACGGAGGAGACCUUUGGAUCAUCUCAUCACAGCUCUUUGUCUCCACCUGGAGGUGACGUGUGAGGAUGCACGUUAGCGGUCAUGUUGUCGACAGGUAUGAUUGUAAGAUAAUCCUCAGAGUAACUGCAGAAUAUACAUUUAAUGCAGUACAAUGAACAGUGUACAGAAAUGAAACUGUACAAAUAGAAAUAUUUAACAGUAAAGUACCAACAUGUGAAGAAAUGUGAACAAGUUCAAUUUGACGGAUUUUAUUCAAACAUUUUUCUAUUUUCUAAAUAUAUUGACCUCAAACAGCCUUUGGGAUCGGUGCUAUUGUGGGUAUAAUGAUUUAACCGGGGGGGGACACAUAGACACACUUUCCUUUAUUGAAAUAAUAAAUACAAUUAAUGAGAUACACAUCAGGUCUUUAACAGUUUAUUCUUUUAAAGACGUUUUUCUUGUACAUUUGGCUUUAAUCCAAUCAUUUUUUCUCUUGGUUUGACACAUUCGGCGUACGGGACUGUUUGCGUGGGACGGCAUGAAUGAAUGUCCCCUCUGGGGAGCUUCUCCGGCGGAUCUCCUCAAAGAGGCCAGAAGGAAGCCGAACAAGAAGCUGAGCAAACAAACAGGAGCUCUGGUUCCUCUUUCGUCUCCUCGUCUUGGUUUUGUUCUCUAAACCGGCGAGUGAGGAAUGCGUUUCCCUCCAGCUGGAGACGCCAGGACGCCCGUUCCCCAGGUGGAGUUACCUCACCUCGCGUCCUCAUAUGGUCAUUUCCUGUUUACGGGUUGUGGAAAAACAAGAUGGUCGCGACCAAAAGGCAGAACUGGAGGCUUCAGGACGUCAGUCGGCCGAGUGCGUCUCCUUCACCAAGAAAUACACUUUAUUCCACAGUAACGUGGCACAGCGUCACAUUUAGCUGAUACUUGUACUUCAAGCACCGGCCUGCAGCCAGAGGUCGUGGGGAUCUCCGGUGGGCGGAGCUUCAAUGGCGUGCAGCAGAGAUCCUCCCUCCUGCUUUGAGCCACUGUAAUAAAACGGGGAUCAAAGGCAGAUCACGUCCCCGGUGAGAGGGAUGCAGAGAGCUGCAGAAGGCCUGCAGCGGCCUUUUAACACUUAAUGACUAUCAGAAGCAGCCCGUGUGUGCACGUGUUUGCGUGUGUGUGCACGUGUGUGCACGUGUUUGCGUGUGUGUG
ensembl:lncRNA